CCAUGAGAUGACUCUUUCCCUAAACACAAGCUUGUGGAGAAACAGGAGCAGCGCCCAGAGGAAAGACAGGAAAGGUGAUGUCACGCAGCCCCAUGACUUUAAAUAGUACACACUGAUGACUCCAACGUGUGUAUCUCUACCUCAGACUUUGGACAACCUGUUAUUCAACUGCCUCCUGAGCAGCUCCAUCCGGAGAGCUAACAGAGUCACCCUUUGAGCCGGCAAUUUCACACCUACAUGUGUACCCAUGAGAACCG